rnacentral:rRNA from 1 species
UACGAGGGGGGCAAAUGUUGUUCAGAAUCACUGGGCGUAAAGGGAGCGUAGGCGGGUUUUUAAGUCAGGUGUUUAAUCCCGGGGCCCAACCCCGGACAGGCACUUGAAACUGGGAAUCUUGAAUAGUGGAGAGGUCAGUGGAAUUGGGGGUGUAGCGGUGGAAUGCGUAGAGAUCCCCAAGAACACCCGUUGCGAAGGCGGCUGACUGGACACAUAUUGACGCUGAGGCUCGAAAGCAUGGGGAGCAAACAGG